UUAAAUUGAAGAGUUUGAUCAUGGCUCAGAUUGAACGCUGGCGGCAGGCCUAACACAUGCAAGUCGAGCGGUAGCACAGAGAGCUUGCUCUCGGGUGACGAGCGGCGGACGGGUGAGUAAUGUCUGGGAAACUGCCUGAUGGAGGGGGAUAACUACUGGAAACGGUAGCUAAUACCGCAUAACGUCGCAAG
rnacentral:rRNA from 1 species